CCGCGCUAGAUGGGGAGCUGGCGGUGCCCUGUAGCCUGCAAUCCGCCUUAGCGGGAUCGAAUACCCGUCAGCGGUCUUCAUUGUGUGGGGUCCGGUUCAUGUGAGAAGUGUUGACGAACAGGUCCUGCGCAACGGAAAUCUCCGAACUGUGUCAGGUCCUGACGGAAGCAGCACUAAGGGGAAUCUUCCGUGUGCCGCAGGAGUGCCUGAUCUGAGCGGAUCACAUGAAGCCCGCCUAGGCGAAGAAGAUCAAUGGCGGGGCGCGG
rnacentral:SRP_RNA from 1 species